rnacentral:lncRNA from 14 species
CGGAUACAUCCUUCCGCCUUCCACCGGGACUGUGCCUCGGCGCGGGAGAGGGGGUCACCGAGCUCCCCUGACUGACAGGGCGACGCUUCCUCUGCCGCUGUAGGAGCGCUUAUCCAAGAUACUGAGAAUGAGGAGAAGACAGGACCUAGUGGGAUGAAGAAGCUAUGCAAAUAAACAUGGACUAAUCCAUUACCAUGCACUAUAAUGGAUGGACAUCCUGGUCACUGUGGAGCAGUAACAACUUUACCUAGUUUCUUUCAGGGCCUGCAUGGAUGCAUGCCAGCCUGUCCUGCAGGAUAUAGUCCAACGAAUAGGAGAAAAAAUGUGUUUGAACUUGGCAUAAUUGCAAUGAACAUAAAGGGAGAAACAAGAGCUGCUUCAUCACUGCCAGCUCCACACUGUGGUUGGGCUCAGGAAAAGGAUCGCAUUGAUGGAUUAGUGCAACAACCCUCCCAGCCACGGAAGGGUGCAUCUUACAAGAAAAUCCAUAGGUGA